CCCCAAAAAAAUCCCAAAAAAAGCCCCAAAAAAGGGCCCAGAAAACCUCAAAAAAGGCCCCAAAAAACCCAAAAAAAGCCCCAAAAACCCUAAAAAUGGCCCCAAAAACCCUCUGGGGCCACCAAAAACCCUCUGGGGCCACCAAAAAACCCAAAAGGGCCACGAGAAGCUCCAAAAGGGCCACCAAAACCCCCCUGGGGACACCAAAGCCACCUCUUGGGGCCACCAAGUGUCCCCAGGUGGCCACUGAGGGUCCCCAGGUGGCCACUGAGGUCCCCAGGUGGCCACUGAGGUCCCCCAGGGGUCACCAAACCCCCCCAGGUGGCCACUGAGGUCCCCAGGUGGCCACUGAGGGUCCCCAGGUGGCCACUGAGAUCCCCAGGUGGCCACUGAGGGUCCCCAGGUGGCCACUGAGGUCCCUCCUGUCGC